rnacentral:lncRNA from 1 species
CACCACAUCUGGCUAAUUUUUUAAAAAAAUUUUUGUAUAGAUGGAGUCUUAUUACAUUGCCCAGGCUGGUUUCAAACUCCUGGGCUCAAACCAUUGUUCCACCUCAGCCUACCAAAGUGUUGGGUUUAUAGGUGUGAGCCACUACACCUGGCCUGUAUUGUUUUCUUCUUCUUAUUAUUAUUUUUUUUGACACAGGGUCUCACUCUAUUACUCAGGCUGGAGUGCAAUGGCAGAUCUUGGCUCACAGCAGCCUCAACCACCCAGGCUCAAGCAAUCCUCCCAUCUCAGCCUCCCAGGUUACUGGGACUACAGGCCGUGCUGCUUGGUUAAUUAAAAUAAAUUUUUUGUAGAGAUGGGGUCUCACUAUAUUGCCCAGGUUGGUCUCAAACUCCUAGGCUCAAGCAAUCCUCCAGCCUCAGCCUCCCAAAGUGCUGAUUACAGGUGCAAGCCACUGCACCCAGCCUAAUUUUUAUUGUGGUUUCCCCUGCCUGCAAUAUUUUCGAUCCCCAGCCAGUUGGGUGAGUCUGCGCAUGCAGAACCGGGCAUAGGAGGACUGUGACAUAUUAGAGUGGAAACUAGCUCAAGGCAGAGGUUUCAGAAUAAUUCAUGAAACAGUUUUGCCAGAAGAGACAUUGCUAAGUUAGUAUAUAUAUACACA